rnacentral:rRNA from 1 species
AACGAACGCUGGCGGCAGGCCUAACACAUGCAAGUCGAGCGCGCCCUUCGGGGUGAGCGGCGGACGGGUGAGUAACGCGUGGGAACGUGCCCUUUUCUACGGAAUAGCCUCGGUAAACUGAGAGUAAUACCGUAUACGCCCUUUGGGGGAAAGAUUUAUCGGAAAAGGAUCGGCCCGCGUUGGAUUAGGUAGUUGGUGUGGUAAUGGCCUACCAAGCCGACGAUCCAUAGCUGGUUUGAGAGGAUGAUCAGCCACACUGGGACUGGGACACGGCCCAGACACCUGCGGGAGGGAGCAGUGGGGAAUCUUAGACAAUGGGGGCAAGCAUGAUCUAGCCAUGCCGCGUGGGUGAUGAAGGCGGUAGGGUUGUAAGGCUCUUUAAGCUGGGAAGAUAAUGAGGGUACCAGAAGAAGAAGCCCCGCCUAAUUCCGU